rnacentral:tRNA from 1 species
GUUCCUGUAGUUAAGUAAUAACGGUGGUUUUUCAAGUCAUUGGCCCAGGUUAAAUUCCUGGCAGGAAUU